UUUCAAAGCUCCAUGGGCGACCAUGGCGCAUUGUAGACUAAAGGUGGCGCAUCCAUUUGUAUGGCCCGGGUAUAGAUCCGUUGGAACGCGGUAUCAUAGAGGGUGAGAAUCCCGUCCGUGACUCGGGUGUCCAUGCAUUGUUGUGUUGCGUUAUCGAAGAGUCGGGUUGUUUGGGAAUGCAGCCCAAAAUGGGUGGUAAACUUCAUCUAAGGCUAAAUAUUGGCACGAGACCGAUAGCGAACAAGUACCGUGAGGGAAAGAUGAAAAGCACUUUGAAAAGAGAGUCAAAAAGUACGUGAAACCGUUAAAAGGGAAACGAAUGGGGCUAGCAUUUGUACCUGGUCACAAUCAGCCGGACGCCUGUGUGGACGGGAUGGUGUUGGGAGCGUUCUCUUUACGGAGAUUGCCUCACGCUGUUCGGACUCGCAUGGGUGGGAAAGCCGGUGCACUUGUGAUCGGUAUCAGGCCAACAUCAGUUCGGUGAUUCUUGCCAAACGAAAGAGACAGGAACCUUUGAGGGAAGGUGGCUGUGGCUUGGCCUUGUGUCAUUUCGCAGUGUUAUAGCCCUCUAGGGAAAAUUUCUAUACGUCGCGGCCCGGACUGAGGAAACGCAGCAGCACGCUUUUUUUGCAGAGCUUCCGCUGGGGCGCAAGGCAGUCGUGACUGAGCCAAAAAGGGUCAGUGCCGGCUACUUUUCUCUCUUGCUUCCUUGUGUUGCAAGUGAGAGAUUGCGUCUCAUCUUACCAGCUACGGGAGUCUACGCAUUAUACGUGCUUGUGAUGUUGGCGAAAUGGCUUCAUCCGACCCGUCUUGAAACACGGACCAAGGAGUCUAACAUACACGCGAGUCUUUGGGUGACAAACCCGCGGGCGUAAUGAAAGUGAAGGCGUGCCUUUUUUGCGCGCUGAGGUGAGAAGCACCUUCUCUUGAGGGGGGGCCGCAUCAUCGACCGAUCCGGACGUGCCCGGGGAGAAGUUCGCUUCACCUCGUGGUUCUACUGAAAGAUUUGAGUAAGAGCGUGUCUGUUGGGACCCGAAAGAUGGUGAACUAUGCCUGAACAGGGUGAAGUCUGAGGAAACUCAGAUGGAAGCUCGCAGCGAUUCUGACGUGCAAAUCGAUCGUCUGAUUUGGGUAUAGGGGCGAAAGACUAAUCGAACCAUCUAGUAGCUGGUUCCCUCCGAAAUUUCCCUCAGGAUAGCUGGAACUCGAAACGCAGUUUUAUCAGGUAAAGCGAAUGAUUAGAGGCCUUGGGGUCGAAAUGACCUCAACCUAUUCUCAAACUUUAAAUGGGUAAGAAGCGCGACUUGCUUAAUUGAAGCCGUGCCAUUUCCGAAUGCAAGAGUUCCAAGUGGGCCAUUUUUGGUAAGCAGAACUGGCGAUGCGGGAUGAACCGAACGCGAAGUUAAAGUGCCAAAGUUCACGCUCACCUAGAACCCACAAAAGGUGUUGGCUGAUGAAGACAGCAGGACGGUGGCCAUGGAAGUCGGAAUCCGCUAAGGAGUGUGUAACAACUCACCUGCCGAAUCAGCCAGCCCUGAAAAUGGAUGGCGCUCAAGCGUGACACUCAUACUUCGCCGUUGCCGCAAACGGUGUGCAUACUCUUUUUUUUGCCGCAACGAGUAGGAGGGCGUGGAGGUAAGUGAAGCAGCUUCGGGCGUGAGCCUGAGUGAAACUGCC
rnacentral:rRNA from 1 species